AUAGUAGGAUGUAGAAGUAGUAGUUGGAAGAAGUGUAGUAGUUGUCUUAGUUGUUGUAGAUGUUGGCUUCUUAUUUGGCUUNCUUACAAAUGAUCCAAUCACCCCUAUUUAUACUAGUGGUACCUCCUUAACCAAUGGUUAGGAUCUUGCCACCACAACAUUAAUCUAAGGGUCAUUAUUCAUCUUCUAGAGUUUUCUAAAACAUUCUUAUAAUUCUAAACUUAUCUAGAUAAAUCUAAUGGAUAAGUAUCCCUAGAUAUUUUUAUACAUCAUUCUAGAAUCCUUCUAGAUAGGAUAUUUCUAGAAUUUUAUUUUGGACCCUCUUUAGUUUUGGGCCUUCUCUAGUCUUGGGCUUUUAUCUUUUAGGCCCAAUUUACAUUUUAACUCUUUUUUCCUAGGAGCUUCUCCAUUCUUCUAGAAUUUGCAUUACACUUUAACAAGAAACCAGCCUUCACCCAAACGGCCAUCUCCAACCACCGUCCACGGCGUCGCCAGUGACGACACCCUCUUUCCACUGUUUUUUAAUAUCCCAAGCAUCUGAAGACAAUUUUCAUCAGCAAGGAGAUAAGCACCGAGGCCCAUCAACAGGAACACCAAGUGAGCUGAACAAGACGCGUCAAUUCUUCACUAGAAUUCAAAAAAACACCACCUAGAUCUAUAACCAGAUAAUCUAAUCGAUUGAUCCCAAUUGGGAACGCGUCGAGGUAGGCGAAGGUGACGAAGGAGGACGCCGAUGAAGCGGUUGUAGUCGACGUUGACGGCGCGGCGAUCGGACUGGGUGGCUUGGUCGAACAAGUGGAUGGCGUUGGAGGUGAAGGAAUUGCGGAUGGUGGCGGAGGAGGUGCGAUUCUGCUCCAACUUCAGUGCUUGGUGUUGGAGUUGGUGUUCGGCGGGAAUAGGGGAUAAGAGUUUUGAUAGGAAUGGGCAGAAUGGAAGUGAAAAGAGGGCGGUGGGGAAAUCGAAAUGGCGAAGACGCGAUCAGUGAUGAAGGUGUGGUGUCGGGUUUUUGGGAGUGAAUGAAGGAAUCCCCCAAGUGGCGGCUGUGCCUCCCCUCCAAAAAAUGGAAUUUGUCCUUCUCUCCCUCAUGUGCUGCCCUAUUUGCUUUGGGCCGUCAACUUCCGUAAACGUGGAAUCAACCUUCUUUUCUUCUUCAAGCACCUCCUAAAAAUAAGCACAACUUUUUCAUUAUGGCCGUGAUGUAAAAGUGGAGGAACCCCUAAUAGAAAAGAGAAAGGGAUUCUGUUACGUCCCCUUUGGCUUGCCCAAUGCACCUCCAUAAUAAUGGUGCCAUUUACACGUUUUUUCAUUUUUUUUUUUCGUUUUUCUUCUUUUUCGUUUUUUCGUUUUUUUUUUCUUUUUUCGUUUUCUUGCUUUUUUUUUUGUUUUUUUUCUCUAUUUCCUCCUCUUCUUUUUUUUUCUCUUUUCCUCUUUCUUCUCUUUUUUUUUUCUUUUUCGUUUUAUU
rnacentral:lncRNA from 1 species